UAAAAUACAGUUCUUGAGAAGAAGUCUGCUAUCUAUCUGCUGUUCCAGGGAUACAAACCAAAUACCAUAAAUGGGAAGAGGAUUAGGAGUUCUGUGUGGAAUCAGAUUAGCAAUAAGUCCCUGACAAAUUUCCAGCCACACAGAACUGAUUUCUGGAGCCAUAUACACUGAAUCUGAGCAUUUGAACUAAUCCUCAACUAGCCUAUCAUGUUCCGAAGAAGAAAGUGGAAUGGUUUUAACUUCUUUCAUCAACUACUAGAGAUUACCAGGCAAAAAGUAGCCAUUCAAAAUUUAAAACACAGAUUCAAGACUGGCAUUCCCAUGCAUUUUGUAUCAGUCAACAUGCCCAUCUGUAUUUUAUAAGUGUUUUUAUGAAUGUCUGAUGUAAUUUAAUAACUUUUUAAUUGAUUCACAAUGUAUUGUACAAUUUUAUAUAUGUGUUUUAUUGUAAGCCGCCCUGAGUCUCCUAUUGGGUGAGAAGGGCGGGAUAUAAAUAUUGUAAUAAAUAAAAUAAAAC